UGGGGAAUUUUGGACAAUGGGCGAAAGCCUGAUCCAGCAAUGCCGCGUGUGUGAAGAAGGCCUUCGGGUUGUAAAGCACUUUUGUCCGGAAAGAAAUCCUUGGCUCUAAUACAGUCGGGGGAUGACGGUACCGGAAGAAUAAGCACCGGCUAACUACGUGCCAGCAGCCGCGGUAAUACGUAGGGUGCAAGCGUUAAUCGGAAUUACUGGGCGUAAAGCGUGCGCAGGCGGUUUGCUAAGACCGAUGUGAAAUCCCCGGGCUCAACCUGGGAACUGCAUUGGUGACUGGCAGGCUAGAGUAUGGCAGAGGGGGGUAGAAUUCCACGUGUAGCAGUGAAAUGCGUAGAGAUGUGGAGGAAUACUGAUGGCGAAGGCAGCCCCCUGGGCCAAUACUGACGCUCAUGCACGAAAGCGUGGGGAGCAAACAGGAUUAGAUACCCUGGUAGUCACGCCCUAAACGAUGUCAACUAGUUGUUGGGGAUUCAUUUCCUAGUAACGUAGCUAACGCGUGAAGUUGACCGCCUGGGGAGUAC
rnacentral:rRNA from 1 species